ACGGGUGAGUAACACGUAGGCAACCUGCCUGUAAGACUGGGAUAACUACCGGAAACGGUAGCUAAUACCGGAUAGGUGAUUUUCUCGCAUGAGGGAAUCAAGAAAGACGGAGUAAUCUGUCACUUACGGAUGGGCCUGCGGCGCAUUAGCUAGUUGGUGAGGUAAUGGCUCACCAAGGCGACGAUGCGUAGCCGACCUGAGAGGGUGAACGGCCACACUGGGACUGAGACACGGCCCAGACUCCUACGGGAGGCAGCAGUAGGGAAUCUUCCGCAAUGGACGAAAGUCUGACGGAGCAACGCCGCGUGAGUGAUGAAGGUUUUCGGAUCGUAAAGCUCUGUUGCCAGGGAAGAACGUCUUAGAGAGUAACUGCUCUAAGAGUGACGGUACCUGAGAAGAAAGCCCCGGCUAACUACGUGCCAGCAGCCGCGGUAAUACGUAGGGGGCAAGCGUUGUCCGGAAUUAUUGGGCGUAAAGCGCGCGCAGGCGGCUAUGUAAGUCUGGUGUAUAACCUCAGGGCUCAACCCUGGGUCGCACUGGAAACUGUGUAGCUUGAGUACAGAAGAGGAAAGUGGAA
rnacentral:rRNA from 1 species